rnacentral:rRNA from 1 species
AAAUUGAAGAGUUUGAUCAUGGCUCAGAUUGAACGCUGGCGGCAGGCCUAACACAUGCAAGUCGAACGGUAACAGAAAGCAGCUUGCUGCUUUGCUGACGAGUGGCGGACGGGUGAGUAAUGUCUGGGAAACUGCCCGAUGGAGGGGGAUAACUACUGGAAACGGUAGCUAAUACCGCAUAACGUCGCAAGACCAAAGAGGGGGACCUUCGGGCCUCUUGCCAUCGGAU